AUUGAACGCUGGCGGCAUGCUUUACACAUGCAAGUCGGACGGCAGCGCAGAGAAGCUUGCUUCUUGGGUGGCGAGUGGCGAACGGGUGAGUAACAUAUCGGAACGUACCGAGUAAUGGGGGAUAACUAAUCGAAAGAUUAGCUAAUACCGCAUAUUUUCUGAGGAGGAAAGCAGGGGACCUUCGGGCCUUGCGUUAUUCGAGCGGCCGAUAUCUGAUUAGCUAGUUGGUGGGGUAAAGGCCUACCAAGGCGACGAUCAGUAGCGGGUCUGAGAGGAUGAUCCGCCACACUGGGACUGAGACACGGCCCAGACUCCUACGGGAGGCAGCAGUGGGGAAUUUUGGACAAUGGGCGCAAGCCUGAUCCAGCCAUGCCGCGUGUCUGAAGAAGGCCUUCGGGUUGUAAAGGACUUUUGUCAGGGAAGAAAAGGACAGGGUUAAUACCUCUGUUUGAUGACAGUACCUGAAGAAUAAGCACCGGCUAACUACGUGC
rnacentral:rRNA from 1 species